AGGCAACUUAGUGAUCCCUUCAGCUCCAAUGAUGAACUUUGUGCGUGCCCAGAUCAAGAAAGCAGCUGAUGAGACCGAGACUAUUCUGGAAACAACCCCGGCUGGCAAAAGCGAUGGGGAAGGUGCACUUCGAGCAUUCAUUAAGCGCCAGGGCCAAAAGUUAAGGC